GACGUAGGGCGCGAGCGUUGUCCGGAUUUAUUGGGCGUAAAGAGCUCGUAGGCGGCUUGUCGCGUCGUUCGUGAAAACCCACAGCUCAACUGUGGGCUUGCGGUCGAUACGGGCAGGCUGGAGUUCGGUAGGGGAGACUGGAAUUCCUGGUGUAGCGGUGAAAUGCGCAGAUAUCAGGAGGAACACCGGUGGCGAAGACGGGUCUCUGGGCCGAUACUGACGCUGAGGAGCGAAAGCGUGGGGAGCGAACAGG
rnacentral:rRNA from 1 species